UCGGAACGUGCCCUAGAGUGGGGGAUAACUAGUCGAAAGACUAGCUAAUACCGCAUACGAUCUAUGGAUGAAAUAGGGGAUCGCAAGACCUCAUGCUCCUGGAGCGGCCGAUAUCUGAUUAGCUAGUUGGUGGGGUAAAGCCUACCAAGGCGACGAUCAGUAGCUGGUCUGAGAGGACGACCAGCCACACUGGGACUGAGACACGGCCCAG
rnacentral:rRNA from 1 species